UCUGUGUAAUAUGAUUUUCUACUGGUACUCUGACCAUCACAGGAAGGCUGCCAGGAAAGUGGAGAGUAUUUGUGUUCCUCCAAAGGUGUCUCAUUUGUCUGAGGCCUUGGCAACCUGCUGUGCUGGGAUUUGAGCACUGCUAACAUUAUUCAGAAUAGUUGAUGAUAACUCUAUUUUUCCCCAGGGUCAGCAGGACCUAUAUAUUCAUUAGAGCUGCCUGUGACUACUCUGCCUGAAGACAUGCUCAGUAAGGGUUAAAGUGAGAUGAGGCGUCAGCCUCCAGAGGUGUGAGACAUUGCCUCAAUAUUGGUGCUGCUGCCCCUGAGAAGUGCAGUGAGGAUCCCAGCGUUGGAAAUCUGAGGUCUUAAAGGGGAAUUUAUAAUGAAAAAUGACUCAGUUGGGGAAUUACAUCAAACAGAUGAUUCAGACAGAGACCAUAAACUCUGAUAUUCCGGUAAGCCAGGCCCGGCAAUUGCUGGAGCUAAUGAACUCUGCUUUCACAUUGGAUCCAGGACAUCUAACAAGACUCAAAGCAUGCUGGGAGCAAUAAUGGCUAUUAGGGAAAAUUGAAGGUGAUCCAGGAAGUCUGAGGCCUGAGACAUUGCAGAAAGGGACACCCAUGAACAAACAUCAGAGAUCACUCAACACAGUACUGAAAGAUCUGCAUUUUCAAGCAAACUUGGGAUAUAAAAAAAUAAAAUGAUCCCUAGAAAUGU